CUCCUAUACAAACAUGAUAAGUCCGAAAAAUGAUAAUUAAAAAAAAAAAAAGCUGUUUGUUGCCAAAAUCUUAUUCUUUUUGUUUUUGUUAAAACUUCUGCUGCAGUAGACUGACAUGUUGACCUCAAAUAUCUAGUUAUCAUUUACGUUCAUGCAUCAAAUUAAACUAAUUCAGUUUCGUAAAGAUCUUGUUUUUUCUCUUUUUAAGUUUAAUUUUUGUUUCUUUGACAAGGAAGGUACCGAAAAAAGCAAUCCAUGGGAUGUGUUUGAUAAUUGAACAAAGUGUGAAUCUGACUUUAACCAGAAGUAGUAAUGCUCUAAUUUUUUUUAAGAGAAUAAGUAAUACUCUAAGGAUCUUUGAUUGCUUUCGGCGUAAAUAAUUGUUUAUUUGUAUGUAUAACUUUAUUCUGAAAAGCAAAGAAGAAGUUUCAUAUAAAUUCAUAUCAGCAAAAGCGCAUUCUCGGUUGAUUUUAUCGUUUAAUGGUUGAAUUCUUGGGUAUUUUAUACCUCAACUAUUUUUUCAAAAUACUCUUCAAUAAUUUAGUGGGUUCUCCCAUUUGAUCGAUUCAAUUGUUGGGGACUCAAAUUGCAUAAAAAUUGAAGAACAGGAUAUCAUGCUGUAAACAAUUCUCCAUUUCAACUUUCAUUAUUGUUACUCGUCUGCAAUACCUGGAUAUAUCAACACUUACUCCAUCACUGAUGUGCUUACCUAUCUAAGAGUGCAUGUUCUUGGGGACGUCAAAAGUUAUGUUUCCAUCUUACAUGGAUAAAGGAAUCAGCUCUAUUUGCUCUCAAGGGUAAUUUCUAUUAAAUAUCCAUCUAUUUCCUACACCUGCCUGAGAACUUGCUCGAAUUAUUUUUAAAAGAAUAUUUUAGCUAUAAAAAUUUUCUUGUGACCUUUUAAUAUUAUGUUUUUCACCAAUUGUUCCAUGAACAUUACUAAAAAGAGGGAAAUAUUCUUUUACAAAAUAUUUAACACGAUACCAGCUCAACUGAGGAAAUUAGCGUCGCGAUCCGCGUACUACUAAUUGUUAGCCAAACACCGGUUUCCCAAUUCCCAGUUUUGGAUAUUCUUUUUA